GUGAACCCUCUCCGCUGCUGAAACUUUUAUGCAACUUACUGAGUGUUAUUUGGAUUCUUUGUGAAGUGGCCACUUUGACUCAUCCCUGGAAUCUGAGGACUUUGACUAAACAAAGUAAGGGUAAUGUUCAGGCAGUACCUGCAGAGAGUCCACCCCCUUCCGCUGAGACUUUAACCUGGACCCAGGCAAAUGACUUAUGAAAGAGGCAGUCAUCCUACUCAUUUAGGUGGUGAGCUGACAGUCCCCCUGGGGAUGUUACCAUGACAACAGCAAGUCUUUAGCAAGAGCCAGCCCUUGCCCUACUGGGUAGAAUCAGAGGUGCUCACUGUCAGUCGCCAAACAGUGCCACUGUCAACUUUCAGCAUCACCUCAAGUGCACAGACCAACACUGGUUACACUCCAAGGCCCAGAACUCAGGUUCUUGUGCCUUCGGAUCGAGAUGUUUUUGACUCACCCGGGCUACACUAAGCCUGAAGCAGCUGUGCAGUGUGCAGGGCAGGACGGUGUUGCCUUCAUUACAAAUGGUGCAGCAUUGGAUUUUCAAGUACAUCAUCUAUCAAUUUAUUUCAGAAAAUAAAGGGGGAAUUACAAAAUAUUUGUUUCAAGGAGCUGAACUGUGCACCAUCAACAGAUGAAUGGACAGAGAGAACAGGAGAGGUUAUCACACUGGCUCAUACUGCAAGGCUGUGGAUACCUCCUCAGAGGCCCUGGGGAAAUGAAGGUUCAGGAGUCUGAUGGCCAGACUCCACCUACCUGGCUAAAUAGCCAUCAGGAUGGCGGUCUGUUGGGGAGUUCAUGUCCUUGGACGAAGACUUGUCUUCAGUGACUGGCCCACUGCUGGCCUCGCUAUCGGCUUUCUGGCUCAGAGUGUCAGAAAAUGUAUCAUCCCUGAAACAACGAGAAUCAAGAGUGAGGGUCUCCUGCUAGAUGAAUGGAGACAAAAGAAAGCAAAUUCUGGAUAUUACCUACUCAAAAGACCAGAUUCAAAAAUGAUGUCUUCUGGAGAUCAAAAGAUAAUCAAAGGAGUAAUGGUAAGACCCACGGACAGAUGGUCCAGUGAUGAGACUGACGUUUGGGAAGAAAGGUUGGGGCUUUGUCUUGGGCUUUUCCUGCCACUGGGGAAAGCAAGGAAACACUCAGAGAAGCCAUCAGUGAAAAAGGAAUGAAUCACAGAGAAACAAAGAAACUCAAGACGAAAGAACAGACAGUGGCAGAGGUAUAGGGCUCAGAGACUCUCCAUAGCAACACCACAGAAACAGAAGCUCUCACUUUAAAGAAUUUCUUCUAACUGGAAUUCUGAAAAUGGCAAUUUAUCUUCCUUUGAAAAACACAAACUUUCUUGUUUUUCCAAAGCAGAGGGUGGCCCCUAGACACCCUGAUAACCCUCCUGCUGAAAUCAACUAAAGUGCUAGAUUUGAAAAAAAAAAUCUUUCUUAUCACAUUAAUAAGCUAUCAUGAUGGUAAGGAAUACUGUCAUGACAGGACUUCUAAAGACCAAAAACUCAGUGAAUGGGAACCUAGCCAGGUCAACGGAACACGAGAAAAUAUAAGUCAGAGUUUGCCUGGAGGGCAUUUUCCCCUGCCUAGUUAAUAUGGCUUUAUUUUGCACAAAAGCCUAGGCCCAUGGCCUGCUCAGUGUAGACAAUCCAAGCCCCACCAAAGGAUCACACUCCUUAAGUGUCACGGUGAACUUCUAGUUCUAGAAAUCAUCCUCCCUUCUCACCUUCCAUACUUCUCCGUAAACGUAACCACUUCAGCCCUCGACUUAGGGAAAUGGUCUUCCUCAAACCUUGGAACAAACCCUCUCAGAGAAUCCCAACCACAUUCCAGUCCUCAGGCAGGCUGGUGGUUUAAGUUCACACCACCUGAGUGGCCUGGAAAACCUCAGACUAAAAAUCCAGUGUGGUCCCAAAGCUGGUUAUGCCUCAGGCAGAAGUAAAUGAAAACUCUGGAGGAACAUACCUGCAACUGAGCCCAAAGGAAUUCCAUAAAGUUCUAAGAAAUAUGUAAAAAAUGUAUAAAACACACUGGAAAUAAGACUCAAGAGCAAAAGCCAACAAAAAUAAAUUCAGGAAGACUGCAGCUAUUAGAAGGAUUAGACACAUAAUCUGAAACAAUGGAAAGGAGUAAUAUUAUGAGUAAAGAGCAAAAGACCAUAAAAAACUGACCAAAUAGAUACGAGAGUGAACUGAACAGAACCUGCAGAAACAGAAAUUAAAAAUAAAAACUCAGUGAAUGGGUUUAAAGCAAAUUAGUCACAGUUAAAGAGGGAAUAAAAGGAUUAUGCGUACAGUUAAAGAGGUACUAAGAAAAAACUACUGACUUUAUAUGUUCAUAUUUAAAAAGUGUUUUAAUGUUAAACAUUAAACUUAAGUCAGAAAAAGAAAGAAAAGUGGCCUCUACAGAAAGAAGUAUAAACAUUUAUUGGGAGACGCUGAAUAACUAGAAAUAUGUUUUGUGGAUUAGAAGACUGAAUAUUAUAAAAAUAUCAAUUAUUUCCAUAUCAGUAUAUGCAGAACUGUGAUCAAAACCUCAAAGGUUUUUAGGUUGUUUGUUUGAAGAACUUGAAAAACUGAGUUUUGCCAAAUAUUGCCAAGCUAUUAAAAUUAAGACAGUGGUGUAGACAGGCAAGUAGACCAGUGGAAAAAUAAUAGAGCCCAGAAACAGACUUAUGCAUAGAAGACACCUGAUUGAUCAUAAAGGUGUGGAGCAGUAGAGAAAAGACAAUUAAUGCUGGGAUAGGGGACAACUGUGCAUCCACACGGAGACAGAAGGAACAGAUCCCUACCUCACACCAUACCUCCAGAUAAAUUCCUGGUAGAAUUAAGACCUAUGGGUGAAAAGAAAACCUGAAAGGAUUUAGAAAAGAAUACGGGAGAAUUUCUUCAUUACCUCACGGCACAGAAGGAUUUCUUAAAAGGGACACAAAGUGAAACCACCAUGAAGGAGAAGAUUGGGAAAUCCAACUCCUUUAAAAUUAAGACCCCCUGUUUGGCAAAAGACAUAACAAGCACAUAAAAGACAAGCUACAGAGCAGAAGAUAUUUGCAAAUCAUGUACCUAAAGAAGACCUGAUCCAGACCCACAAAGAAUUCUUAUAAAUAAGAAAAAACCGAAGCCAAACCAAACUGAACUAAACCAAGCAAAAAGAGCCCAAAGAAACUAACAGUGGGCAAAUAGGCCCUAAAUGGGCAGAAGACUUGAUAGAAAUUUCACAAAAUAAGACAUCUAAACAUACAAAAAUCAGUGUAUCUGCAUUCACCAUGCUUUUCACUUUCUGGAGUCUGACCUCCCAGGGUUAGCCAUAUUCCCAGGAACAGUAAACAGCUCACCUGCAAUGUGCUUUUCAAACAAACCAACCAAUCCAGAGCCCAUGCCCCAAUCACCUCCUCUCUGGCUCUCACCCUUUGGGCCACUACUCAGUUGCUUCGGGGCCAGGAACCAGACAACCAGAGACAGCCCCGGUGCCCCCAGAGGCCCUGAAAUUAGUCAAGCUCGGCCAUCCUAACCCGCUCACCCUGCCUCGCCUGUUCUUUCCUGUGGAAACCACAACACAAGCGCCUGCCCAGCUGUUCCCUCUCCCUCUGCCUUCUGACUGAGCCUGAUGCUUCCCCCUGGCCCUCUGAAACCUGACGUGCCCCCUCCUCUAAGGAACUGAGAGCAACAAAUUAUCUUUUCAAUGGCAAUCAUCUCCUGAUCUGGUGGCCUUACCAGACCCCAAAUUUUCUAUCAAUACACUAUAUUUUAAACAACAUCUUCAUCAGUAAUCAGAGAAAUGCAAAUUAAAAUCAUAACGAGAUGCCAUUACACACUGACGAUACUGGCAAAGAUGACAAUAUUUGAUAAAAUCAAGGGUUGUUGAAUACACACAACUGAAACACAGCAGGCUGAGACACUGCUGGUGGGAGUGGGGAUCAUUACAACCAUUGUCAAAAAUAGUUCAGUAUGUAGUAAAGUUGAAGACAUGCUUACUCCUAGGUGUAUAUACCCUAGAGAAACUCCCGUAUACUUGCAGUAGGAUACAUGUUCAAAAUAUUGAUAGCUGCACUGUUUUUAAUGGCAAAAAAACAGAAAACACCUCACACAUUCAUCAAUAAUCAAAUAAAGACAAUGGAAUAUUAUACAGUGGUAAAAAUGACUGCAACAAUGUGGUUGAAUCUCAGGAACGUAAUAUGGCAUAGAAAAAAUCAUGGAAAAUAUAUACAGUAGCAGAAAGUUCAAGAAAAUAGAAAAUGAAGUAGUAAACCAUUUAAAUGCACAAACACAAGUGGUUACCUCUCAGUGGGUGAAGAAGGCAGUAGGACCAGGGAUGUGCAAAGGUAACGAUGUCUUUUUCUUAAAGGUGGUGGUUCCACAGGUGUUCAUUGUAAUAAUAGUCUUCAUACUUUACACAUAUUUAGUAAAUAUUCUUUUGUAUUCUCAAUAUAAGCAAUUCUUUACAAAUGGUUAUAAAGACCAGUCUGAUAACAGCACGAGCACAAGUACAUACCGUCUUCACUGGUGUGGGGCUCUGUACCAGCAUCCUGAUCCACUUCCUCCAGCGUACCGUGUUCACUGUAUGGGCUGUCGCUGGG